GUUAACGCCUCGAGAGUUUGUGUGUGCCAUGGCCAUCAUCAUGCGACGGAGGGCUGGUACACCUAU
rnacentral:ribozyme from 1 species